rnacentral:rRNA from 1 species
UGGGGAAUUUUGGACAAUGGGCGAAAGCCUGAUCCAGCAAUGCCGCGUGUGUGAAGAAGGCCUUCGGGUUGUAAAGCACUUUUGUCCGGAAAGAAAUCCUUGGCUCUAAUACAGUCGGGGGAUGACGGUACCGGAAGAAUAAGCACCGGCUAACUACGUGCCAGCAGCCGCGGUAAUACGUAGGGUGCAAGCGUUAAUCGGAAUUACUGGGCGUAAAGCGUGCGCAGGCGGUUUGCUAAGACCGAUGUGAAAUCCCCGGGCUCAACCUGGGAACUGCAUUGGUGACUGGCAGGCUAGAGUAUGGCAGAGGGGGGUAGAAUUCCACGUGUAGCAGUGAAAUGCGUAGAGAUGUGGAGGAAUACCGAUGGCGAAGGCAGCCCCCUGGGCCAAUACUGACGCUCAUGCACGAAAGCGUGGGGAGCAAACAGGAUUAGAUACCCUGGUAGUCCACGCCCUAAACGAUGUCAACUAGUUGUUGGGGAUUCAUUUCCUUAGUAACGUAGCUAACGCGUGAAGUUGACCGCCUGGGGAGUACGGUCGCAAGAUUAAACUUAAUGAA